CGCAGCUGCAGCCUUCCAGCAUGUACAUGCCCGCGGGCCGGGCGCUCUGCUCGCUCUCGAAGUAGAAGAGCAUGUUCUGGUAGAGGGCAAACCACUUGUCAUGCCAUCGGCUCGUCUCCGCCGUCUUCUUGCUCAGGAUAACUUCUCAAUUUGGACUGCUUGAAAGUGAAUUCCCUGAAUUAUAUAUACCUUCAUCUUCAACUGCUCUUGAUCUCUUGUGAAUGAUAUGAGAAAGAGAGACAGCAGUAUGUCAUCAGGCAAGGGCAGAGCUGAGAAUAGAAUCCAGAUUGAUGGCAAGUCAACCCAUGUAUGUCAGCAUGGCUGUUCGAAACUUGGUUCUGGAUCAGUCCAUUACGUCCAGGACAGAAAGGCGACUGGCGUAGAGAAUGUGCAAGAUCUGAAAUCUGCUUUGCACGAUCUUCUGUUUUUGAUCAAAAGGUCCUAAAAAUUAACGUUGGCCAUCUGGAUUUCAAUGCCAUCUGGAAGAUCAGAUUAAGGCAAGUAGAUUUUAAUCAAAUUAUAAAUUACAACAAACCAGCAGCCAAAGAUGUGAUCAUUAGUUCAAACUAACAUGACACUCACCCUGUAUCAUCUACUCUUUCCACUAGCUAAGCUCCCUUGCUUGUUUAAUUCCCAGUGUCCUAACAGCACAGUUUUUCCUAAUCACUUGAUAUUGUGUGAAGUUCUAUGGCAACCUUACCAAUUUCUCUUAUCAAUUCAAUUCCAGCACCACUAUCUCUCCCUCAACUUCUUCCCUACUGCCUACUCAAUAGUCUUGUUCUAGGUGGCUCAUGGAAAAUUAAAUAUAUAAUUAAAAGGUAGUUCUCCAAAUACAUCAUUUAUAAUCAAAUAUACUAUGUCCUUUAUUUUUCUUGAAUUUUAAUUAUAACUUCACUGUGACAAGAGAUAGCAGAGUGCAACAAGCUCUACUGUUCCCAGCCUCUCUCAACAAUGCAUUGGAAAAGGACACAGGGCUUUUUAAUGCAAAUUCUUUGCAGCACUAUAUUUAAUUUGCUUCCUGGUGGGCUAGAACAACUUGCUUGAAUAUAAUUAUCUUAUGUACUUGUUUUUUAUUCUAAUUUUUGCUGGAGUCUUAUGAAGAAUAUAUAAAUAGGAGUGGGGGCUAUGAGUAACACUUGACGGUCUGGGGAGUCUGCUGGUGCAAAAAAAAUUUAAGAAUGCUUAAUCCAAAAGUGUGAAGCCAGCAUCCAUGCCAGUUUGGAGUCUGACACGUUGAGUGGUCUUAAGGUGCCGUUCCAUCCAUGUGAGCCUCAAUGGAACUAAAGGGAAAGGCCAUCAGUCUUUGGAUUGAAGACCAGACCCAGAAGAAAGUGCCAGAGAGGAACAGCAAUCCACAAGAAA